AAUGGGGGAAACCCUAAUCUAGCCAUGCCGCGUGAUCGAUGAAGGCCUUAGGGUUGUAAAGAUCUUUCAGGUGGGAAGAUAAUGACUGUACCACCAGAAGAAGCCCCGGCUAACUCCGUGCCAGCAGCCGCGGUAAUACGGAGGGGGCUAGCGUUGUUCGGAAUUACUGGGCGUAAAGCGCACGUAGGCGGAUUGGAAAGUUGGGGGUGAAAUCCCGGGGCUCAACCCCGGAACUGCCUUCAAAACUCCCAGUCUUGAGUUCGAGAGAGGUGAGUGGAAUUCCGAGUGUAGAGGUGAAAUUCGUAGAUAUUCGGAGGAACACCAGUGGCGAAGGCGGCUCACUGGCUCGAUACUGACGCUGAGGUGCGAAAGCGUGGGGAGCAAA
rnacentral:rRNA from 1 species